rnacentral:rRNA from 1 species
UGGGGAAUUUUGGACAAUGGGCGAAAGCCUGAUCCAGCAAUGCCGCGUGUGUGAAGAAGGCCUUCGGGUUGUAAAGCACUUUUGUCCGGAAAGAAAUCCUUGGCUCUAAUACAGUCGGGGGAUGACGGUACCGGAAGAAUAAGCACCGGCUAACUACGUGCCAGCAGCCGCGGUAAUACGUAGGGUGCAAGCGUUAAUCGGAAUUACUGGGCGUAAAGCGUGCGCAGGCGGUUUGCUAAGACCGAUGUGAAAUCCCCGGGCUCAACCUGGGAACUGCAUUGGUGACUGGCAGGCUAGAGUAUGGCAGAGGGGGGUAGAAUUCCACGUGUAGCAGUGAAAUGUGUAGAGAUGUGGAGGAAUACCGAUGGCGAAGGCAGCCCCCUGGGCCAAUACUGACGCUCAUGCACGAAAGCGUGGGGAGCAAACAGGAUUAGAUACCCUGGUAGUCCACGCCCUAAAACGAUGUCAACUAGUUGUUGGGGAUUCAUUUCCUUAGUAACGUAGCUAACGCGUGAAGUUGACCGCCUGGGGAGUACGGUCGCAAGAUUAAAACUCAAAUGAAUUGACGGGGUCAUAGCUGUUUCCU